rnacentral:rRNA from 1 species
UCGAGGAUAUUUAGCAAUGGGGGAAACCCUGACUAUGUGACGCCGCGUGAGGGAUGAAGGUCUUCGGAUUGUAAACCUCUUUCGAUGGGGAAGAAACUUUGCACUAACACUGCAAACUGACGGUACCCAGAGAAGAAGCCAUGGCUAACUCUGUGCCAGCAGCCGCGGUAAUACAGAGAUGGCGAGCGUUACUCGGAUUUAUUGGGUGUAAAGGGCAGGUAGGCGUCCCCGCAAGUCAGUAGUGAAAUCCUAUGGCUUAACCAUAGAACUGCUAUUGAAACUGUGGGGAUUGAGGCUAGAAGAGGAGAGCGGAAUUCCCGGUGUAAGGGUGAAAUCUGUAGAUAUCGGGAGGAACACCAGUGGCGAAGGCGGCUCUCUGGUCUGGCCCUGACGCUGAGCUGCGAAAGCUUGGGGAGCAAACAGG